UGCCUUGACUCAAGAAGACGAUGAAGGACGUAGCAGCCUGCGAUAAGCCUCGGUAAGGUGGCAAGCAACCUUUGACCCGAGGAUUUCCGAAUGGGGAAACCUAUCCUGUUGAAGACAGGAUGUCCGCUCGCUGAACACAUAGGCGAGUGAGACGAUUACCCGGUGAACUGAAACAUCUAAGUAGCCGGAGGAAGAGAAAGAAACAUCGAUUUUGUUAGUAGCGGCGAGCGAAAGCGAAAGAGGCCAAACCGGAGUGCGUGCACUCCGGGGUUCGGACCGCAUUUAAGAUUCAGUGAUUCUAGCAGAAAGGUUUGGGAAAGCCUGCCGGAGAGGGUGAAAGCCCCGUACGUGAAAGCUGAUGAGACUGAGCAGGACCCAGAGUACCACGAGACACGUGGAACCUUGUGGGAAAUCAGGGGGACCACCCCCUAAGGCUAAAUACUACUUAGUGACCGAUAGCGCAUAGUACUGUGAAGGAAAGGUGAAAAGCACCCCGGGAGGGGAGUGAAAUAGUACCUGAAACCGGACGCUUACAAUCCGUCAGAGCCUGCGCCUUCGGGGUGGGUGAUGGCGUGCCUUUUGAAGAAUGAGCCUGCGAGUUAUGGUAUGUGGCAAGGUUAACCAGAGAUGGGAAGCCGGAGCGAAAGCGAGUCUGAAUAGGGCGUGUAGUCGCAUGCUAUAGACCCGAAGCGAAGUGAUCUAUCCAUGGGCAGGUUGAAGCGGGGGUAAGACCCCGUGGAGGACCGAACACACGUCAGUUGAAAAUGGCGGUGAUGACCUGUGGUUAGGGGCGAAAGACCAAUCAAACUCGGCGAUAGCUGGUUCUCCUCGAAAUGCAUUUAGGUGCAGCGUCAUGCGUUCAGUACCGGAGGUAGAGCACUGGAUGGGUUAGGGGGCCUACAAGCUUACCGACCCCAGCCAAACUCCGAAUUACGGUACUCCAGAGCAUGGCAGUGAGACCACGGGGGAUGAGCUUCGUUGGUCGAAAGGGAAACAGCCCAGAUCAUCAGCUAAGGUCCCUAAAUGUAUGUUAAGUGGGAAACGAGGUGAGAUUUCUUAAACAACGAGGAUGUUGGCUUAGAAGCAGCCAUUCAUUUAAAGAGUGCGUAACAGCUCACUCGUCAAGAGAUCUUGCGCGGAAAAUGUAACGGGGCUAAACAUACUACCGAAGCUAUGGAUGUCACAUUUAUGUGGCGUGGUAGAGGAGCGUUGAUAGGGCGUUGAAGUUGGACUGCGAGGUCUGGUGGAGCGCUAUCAAGUGAGAAUGUUGGAAUGAGUAACCAUAAGGCAGGUGAGAAUCCUGCCCGCCGAAAGAGCAAGGUUUCCUGGGCCACGGUAAUCGUCCCAGGGUUAGUCGGUCCUAAGCCGAGGCGCGUAGCGUAGGCGAUGGACAACGGGUUAAUAUUCCCGUACUAGCUAUGUAUUGUUCAGUGUGCGCGGCAUAUUAGUUGGAGCGGGUUCAUGGUUAUAUCCGUCUAAGUAUCAGAAAUAGGUACGAAUGAGAUGGCCAUUAGGCUAGAUUCCAGUGAAAGUGCUGACCAGAAAAGCAACUGAACGCGUGUACAUAGCUAUCCGUACCGCAAACCGACACAGGUGCUCAGGUCGAGAAGACCAAGGCGUACGAGUGAUUCUUCGUUAAGGAACUCGGCAAUAUAGCGACCGUAACUUCGGGAUAAGGUCUGCCCCUGCGCUCUUCAUAAUUGAAGAGUCAGAGUUUCUAUAACAAAAUCUCGGUUUCUACCCAGAAAUCGAGUCUCUUUGAGCAAAACUUCUGCGUUCUUCACUUGUGAUGAGCGUGGGGGCCGCAGCGAAAGAGCCCAUGCGACUGUUUAUCAAAAACACAGGUCUCUGCUAACACGAAAGUGGAUGUAUAGGGGCUGACUCCUGCCCGGUGCUGGAAGGUUAAGGGGAGUGCUUUACGGUGCGAACUGAAGCCCCAGUGAACGGCGGCGGUAACUAUAACCGUCCUAAGGUAGCGAAAUUCCUUGUCUGGUAAGUUCAGACCCGCACGAAUGGAGUAAUGAUGUGGGCACUGUCUCAACGAAGAGCUCGGUGAAAGUGCAUUGACGGUAAAGAUGCCGUCUGUCCGCAGCAGGACGAAAAGACCCCGUGGAGCUUUACUACAGUUUGACAUUGUGUCGAGCUGCAACAUGUGUAGCAUAGGUGGGAGACUUUGAAACUUAGACGCUAGUCUAGGUGGAGUCGCAAUAUGAAAUACCACCCUUGUUGUAGUUUUACACUCACGGGGACCACAAAGAGUAGAAGUCACAGCACGUUUUGAUAUAUAACGGAGCAUGAUGACGUCUAUUCUUUCUGGUCCCUGGACAGUGUCUGAUGGGUAGUUUAACUGGGGCGGUUGCCUCCUAAAGAGUAGCGGAGGCGUUCAAAGGUUGGCUAGGUUCGGAUGGAAAUCGAAUCGAUAGUGCAAGCGCAUAAGCCAGCUUGACUGUGAGGACUACAAUCCAAGCAGACGCGAAAGCGGGAGCUAGUGAUCCGUCAUACGUACAUUUAUGUACAUGAACGUGGGAUCGAUGACGCAAACGGAUAAAAGUUACCCCGGGGAUAACAGGCUUAUAGCGCCCAAUAGUUCACAUAGACGGCGCUGUUUGGCACCUCGAUGUCGGCUCAUCUCAUCCUGGGGCUGGAGCAGGUCCCAAGGGUCCGGCUGUUCGCCGGUUAAAGAGGUACGUGAGCUGGGUUCAGAACGUCGUGAGACAGUUCGGUUUAUAUCCGCUGUGGACGAUAGGAAAUUUGAGAGAAUCUGCCCCUAGUACGAGAGGACCGGGGUGGACGCACCGCUGGUGUAUCGGUUGUUCUACCAAGAGCAUUGCCGAGUAGCUAUGUGCGGAAUAGAUAAGCGCUGAAAGCAUAUUAAGCGCGAAACUAGUCUCAAGAUUAGAUUUCCCUAUGAGGACACUGAAAGACGAUCAGUUUGAUAGGCGCAAGGUGGAAGUACGGUAACGUAUGGAGCCGAAGCGUACUAAUAGUCCCAUUGACUUUUUAC
rnacentral:rRNA from 1 species